rnacentral:rRNA from 1 species
AUUGAACGCUGGCGGCAGGCUUAACACAUGCAAGUCGAGCGGGGGAAGGUAGCUUGCUACCGGACCUAGCGGCGGACGGGUGAGUAAUGCUUAGGAAUCUGCCUAUUAGUGGGGGACAACAUCUCGAAAGGGAUGCUAAUACCGCAUACGUCCUACGGGAGAAAGCAGGGGAUCUUCGGACCUUGCGCUAAUAGAUGAGCCUAAGUCGGAUUAGCUAGUUGGUGGGGUAAAGGCCUACCAAGGCGACGAUCUGUAGCGGGUCUGAGAGGAUGAGCCGCCACACUGGGACUGAGACACGGCCAAGACUCCUAUGGGAGGCAGCAGUGGGGAAUAUUGGACAAUGGGGAGAACCCUGAUCCAGCCAUGCCGCGUGUGUGAAGUAGGCCUUAUGGUUGUAAAGCACUUUAAGCGAGGAGGAGGCUACUCUAGUUAAUACCUAGGGAUAGUGGACGUUACUCGCAGAAUAAGCACCGGCUAACUCUGUGCCAGCAGCCGCCGUAA